rnacentral:lncRNA from 1 species
GUUUGCUUUCCUUUCUCUCAAAACGCUCAGCCCCGUUUCCAGCACAGCUGCCCCAGGUUACAGUCACAGGGCUGACCACACUCAGCACUUAUGUGGGUAGGUUUUCUCAUGGCUCAGCAAAAUGGUGACGGUUUCUUGAGAGCAGCAUGUUGCUCUUCCCCUCCCUGAACACAAUCCUUUUCUCUCUCCUUAUGGUUCAUGCCAUUGGGUGUUUUCCUUCAACAUGUUCUAUGGGUUUUUCUUUCAUGGUGUUUUGCAGCGAGAGAGGGAUUUCUCAGGGCUUUUAGAAAUCUGCUGGGGCAGUAGGAGCUUUAUACUGGGAUGUUAGCAGGGAAGCUGAAUCGCAUAAUUCUGCAGUUUGCUGUAAGGAUCAGCCCCGGCACAUGCACCCAGAGCUCUGUGUCCGAUUUAAGGGAUGCGGCCAUGACCGGGGCCGGGUGCGGGGCUCCCAGCGCAGCAGCACCCUGCAGCAGCCGCCUGGGUGCGAGCCUGGCCCCUGUGGUGAACACGAGGCAAGCUGACGUCUCCCAGCCCUCUGCAAGCAGCCUGCAAGCUCCGAGAAGUGUUUCACAUCUGCUGGGAGACGUGACCAUCGCAAGUAUUGACCUCUCCUCCUAUCCUUGAGCCUACUUCUUGCUGCUCUUGACUCUGGAGCGUUCUCUAAUUCAUACGAAGUUAAAGAAAUGAACGGAAACUGCAAUGUAACCUUUCUUUCUCCGGAUGCUGGUGAUGUUUUCUGUGACGUUCUGGCUCUGUGUGUCCCGUCUCUCUGGUGACAGGCGUAAUCCUGAGGACUUGGGAGAUACAGCAAAAGGAAAAUCUAAAGAAAUGACAAAACAAAUUAUGGACAAGCUCAAAUUUCCCUUGUAACCAUAGCCCUGCACUGAAGGGACAAAUUCAGGUUUCUCUUACAGGUUCCCUUUUGCAUCCCUCCCACGGCAUUGCAAGCAAACUCCUUUUGUGACUCAGAAUAAAAUCCUCUUUCUGAAUGUAUUGUUCUUAG